rnacentral:lncRNA from 1 species
UUGAACCCCUUCUUCUCAAACUCUCGCUGCAACACUACCUAAAUCCUUGCCGCCGCCACCUAAUUCCACCCUAACCCACCUCAAUCCCUACCUAAUCCAUAGUCUCUCAUGGCGUUUUGAGACAUGUACUCAUCUCCUAUGUCUAGUGGCUACAUAUUUUUCAUGAUUCCAUGGAAAAAUCUCGACAAGAUCUAGUCCAGUCCUUACUUGACUUCGAUCUCCAGUCUUUCUCCGGCCAUCCAUGGCUUUUCAAGUUAGAUCCUUGACUUUUCCAACUAGAUCGAUAUUUUCUAAAACCUUUCUCACUUUCUUUGGGUUCUAUGAAACCCUAGCUCUAAGAGCUGUUCUAUUUUUCUUUCAGAUCUAUCUUAGAUCUGUGCUUAUUACGAACUUUUUAAGUGUUUUCUCGAAGGUUCUCGAUUUUCUUUCAAAAUGACUCUUCAUUUUUUCAGCAAUUAGGGUUUCUCUUAAUUUCUUUUGAAGAUCUCUUCUCUGAUUUUUGGUGCUACUUUAUGAUUUUACUUGUUCAACAACUUGUUUAUGUUUUCCUUCUACUUGAUUUAGCAUGUUAAAAACCCUAGGUCUUUCUGGUCCUAUCCGAGUUCUGAAACUGUCCUUGUUUGUUUGAAUGCAUAUUUGUUCGAUUAAGUUCUUUGUUUUAACUCUCUUUUCCUUGUUUGACUUAUCUGAUUCUAAGUUAUUAUCAUCUCUUAAGCUCGACUACUAUUAAAUCCCUAAUUUCUUAAAAGGUUUUCCUUACUUGUUACUGUGAGAACUUUACUUGUUUCUGACUCUCUUUACCUGUUACGAUGCUUUCUUCACUUUUGAUUUUGUGCAAUUACCUGACCUUAUUGACUACUGUGCUUUGGGUAGAUCUCUUUUACUACUAAAUCCUAAAUUAUUCCUGCUACUACUAUAUGGUUAUGUUGUUUCUUUUUCCAAUGUAUUUGGCCUUGUAUGUCUGAUACUGAUGUUCAUGCUAUUUAUAUGUUGAGGUGCAGAAUCAUGAUCCUUUCUUGAUUGAUUCUAACUCCCUCAAUGUUGCGAUUGAUUGCAAAAGGUUUUCUUGUGAGCCCUAAUUUUAUUCGUAUGUUUAAAUUGAUAGAUUCACUUCCUUUAAUUAUUGUGAUAUUUUACCUUGAAUCCUUUCCCAAAAUCAAGCAUAUAUUCUGUACCUAGACUCAAUUGUAUACUUUAUAUUUUAAUACCCCUUAUAUGGAAAGAAUCAAUCUGUCUCAUACUGAUUUCUUUCCUUAAUUAACCUUGUUAGUAUCCGUUUGAGCAAUACUUCCUUGAUUAAAGGGAAGUACUUGUGUUAAUUGGAUCUGUUUGUGAUUAUUUCUAUGUUUGUGUUAAGACUUUACUUAUUACCUUAACUUCUACUUGUCUUCCAAACUAUAACUACCCUACCCUUUCUUCUUUUAGACACGAACAAUUUGAGUUCAGAACACACACUUACACUCAAAAUCUCUCUUUCUUUACUGUUACUUGUGUUUUUGCUUUGUCUAGUUGGAUGAAAGCCAAGGCUUAGACUGUGGAAUCUUUCUUACUUUUCCUUUCUGCACUUUGCUUCUCUACUUGUAUGUCCUAGUUAAUUUUUUUGAGUUCCAACAACAACAUGCUUCUUUAAGUUGUUUCAGUUUCUCAUUCUUGUCUACUUCUGCUUAUGUUUCAGCAGUCAAGUUACACUACUAGCAUGCUGUAAUAUGUUCCCUUCCCCUUUUAAGUUAAUGCU